UGACGGUCAUAUCACGAUGAAACAUCGGUUCUUAUAAGAUCACUGAAGUUAAGCAACAUCGAACCCGGUCAGUAACUAGAUGCGUGACCGCUCGGGAAUAACUGAUGCA